UCAAAAUUUAUUUCCACCAGAAUACUUACUAAAAUUUCCCCCCUUGGUCUCCAAAUACUUAAGCAAAAUUAGGGCUUCUUCCAUAUCUAACCAAUCGCUUCCAAAUACUUUCGCCUUCUGCCGCGGUCGUCUCUGUCCUCUCUCGGUCUCUCCUCUACGGCUCUGCCUCGCCACCGCCGACCAGACAGCGUCAGCGGUCAAUCCAUCACUACGCCACACCAGCUCGGCAGCUUCGUCCCUAGGAAGAAGAACAACUGAACAAGGAGACGACGAGGAGUACUUCUGGCCGUUCUGGGUGGACGGCAGCUCGCCAACGGUUAGUCCUUCAACCUUCGAUUGAACGAUUUUGAGGAUUUUUGCAAAUCUGCCCUAAUUACUUGACCUUGCAGGUUGCAGAUUUUGCCAUUUUGCUGAUAGAUGUGUGCUGGAAAGCUGGAUAUGAUGUUUCUAAACAGUACUGGGUGGAGAGAGAGAUAUUAGGAACUGGAUUCGAAAUAUUGAGCAACAUGCCUCCAACAAUGUAAACAAAAUACUUGUAGGAAACAAAGCUGACAUGGACGAAAGCAAAAGAGCUGUGCCAACAUCUAAGGGACAAGCACUUGCUGAUGAGUUUGGGAUUAAGUUUUUUGAAACUGUAAGUAUAUUGGAACAACCAAUAAAAACAUUCAAUGUUGGUUUCUUUUCUUACUUACUAGUAUAGAUGCCAGGCAUGGUUGUUGCUUUUUUUUUUUUUUUCUUAUAGUUGUGCAUUUAACUGCAUUUGUCACUUACAUCUUAUGAAGGUAUGUUUCUAAUGCUCAGUGUUAUAUAUUAAUGGUUCUUUUUCUGUCUUGUGAACUAAGAUCAUGGACCAUUUGAUUCAUAUUUGACUUUGUUUCCGUGA